rnacentral:lncRNA from 1 species
CUCCCCGGGCCGUGGCGCGUCCCCCGAGUCUCGCAGUAUUUCCUUCCUGCACCUUUAAGAAGACCGUUGCUCCGUGGUGGGAUGGUGUGUUAAAGCCACACAGAGGAAGUUACGCAGCCCGGAUCAGACCGAGAGAUAAAAGCCCCGAUGGUGAUCGUGAGUGAUGGCAAGAGGAUUUAGCCUCGGCAUUAACUUGGAGCGGAGUGCAGGGGGGCCGUGAAGCGCCCCGCCAUCUGGUCCGCGCCGCGCCGGGGGGAUGCCCCGGCGCCCCGACGAGCAGCCGCGAAGCCCACCAGGGCCCGGGGCUGCCCGGUGCACGAGCGCGGGUCUUCUGCGAGCCGCCCAGGGGGGCCAAAAAGUUUGCACUUGUUAGCGGCGACCUCCCGCUCGGCCGGGGCGGGCGAUGCGGGCGGCGCGGGCGGCCCCCUCCCCCGGCCCGCGUCUCCCGGACGGCUGCGGGCGGCCCCCCCGGGCGGCCGGAGGGCUCCCCAGCCCCGAUCUGACGGCCGCGGCGGCGGCGGCGGCGGCCACAGCGGCAGCGGGAGCGCGCGGGGAAGGAGCAGCGGCUCGCAGCCCUCCGGCCCUCGCCCCCACCCAGCGCCAGCCAGAGGGGGGAGGCGGAGCGCCGGCGGGUGGCGGUCUUCGGCCUCCCGGGUCUCCGCUCCGGGAAGCUGCUCCGAGCCGGGGUGUUGUUGCUAAUGAGCUCUCUCUCCUCCCCUCUUACAAUGAAAGACAAGCCAGACCCCCGGUACCUGGAUGGAUUGAGAGCUGAAGUCUCAGAAACUUCAUAAUAAGUUGCCGAUGGCGACCAGCCAAGG